rnacentral:tRNA from 1 species
GGGCGUAGCUCAGUUGGUUAGAGCGCCGGCCUGUCACGCCGGAGGUCGCGAGUUCAAGUCUCGUCGCUC